UCGGGAAUAUUGCGCAAUGGAGGAAACUCUGACGCAGUGACGCCGCGUGCAGGAAGAAGGUUUUCGGAUUGUAAACUGCUUUAGACAGGGAAGAAAAAGACAGUACCUGUAGAAUAAGCUCCGGCUAACUACGUGCCAGCAGCCGCGGUAAUACGUAGGGAGCAAGCGUUAUCCGGAUUUAUUGGGUGUAAAGGGUGCGUAGACGGGAAGACAAGUUAGUUGUGAAAUCCCUCGGCUUAACUGAGGAACUGCAACUAAAACUAUCAAUUCUUGAGUGCUGGAGAGGAAAGUGGAAUUCCUAGUGUAGCGGUGAAAUGCGUAGAUAUUAGGAGGAACACCAGUGGCGAAGGCGACUUUCUGGACAGUAACUGACGUUGAGGCACGAAAGUGUGGGGAGCAAACAGGAUUAGAUACC
rnacentral:rRNA from 1 species